rnacentral:rRNA from 1 species
UACGUAGGGUGCGAGCGUUAAUCGGAAUUACUGGGCGUAACGCGUGCGCAGGCGGUUUUGCAAGACAGAUGUGAAAUCCCCGGGCUUAACCUGGGAAUGGCAUUUUGAACUGGCAGUCUAGAGUGUGUCAGAGGGGGGUGGAAUUCCACGUGUAGCAGUGAAAUGCGUAGAUAUGUGGAGGAACACCAAUGGCGAAGGCAGCCCCCUGGGAUAACACUGACGCUCAUGUACGAAAGCGUGGGGAUCAAACAGG